rnacentral:rRNA from 1 species
UACAGAGGGUGCGAGCGUUAAUCGGAAUUACUGGGCGUAAAGCGCGCGUAGGCGGCUUUGCAAGUCGAGUGUGAAAUCCCCAGGCUUAACCUGGGAACUGCAUUCGAGACUGCAUAGCUAGAGUAUGGGAGAGGGAAGUGGAAUUUCAGGUGUAGCGGUGAAAUGCGUAGAUAUCUGAAGGAACAUCAGUGGCGAAAGCGACUUCCUGGACCGAUACUGACGCUCAUGUGCGAAAGCGUGGGGAGCGAACAGG